rnacentral:lncRNA from 1 species
AUUUCUCUAAAAUUGUUUCCUUUAUUAACAAAUCUUUUAUAGUUAUCAAUAAUAUAAAUAAAAUUGAUAUCAUAUGUUUACAUUCAGUAUUGUUAAUUGUUUUGCUCAGUGUCAGGUUAGACAGCUGUUGUCCCACCCCACCCCCACACUCCCAAGUUAGUUUUAAAGAGAUGGAUAAAUUUUUUUCAUUUUGUGUGAAUAGUUUUUCAACAAUUUUUUUUAUGUUAUAGUUAUGAAAUAUAUUAAUUCCUUGAAGAUGAGUUAUGCUUUAGUGUUUUGGGUUAACACGCCAGCAAACUUUAAUUGUGCCUUCAAUUGCUGAUUAGUGACAAGCGAAUGCUUACUGACAGUAAACAAGUUGGCAAGAUCAAAUGGAUGAACGAAAAAAAGAAAAUAUCUUCAAAAGGAUGGUCUUCACAUGAUGGGCUUGUUCUUUUAAUUAGUGACAAUUGAUUUGAGCAAAGAAGAAAAUAAAUAUUGGGCAGAAAAAGAUAAUUAUGAUUCAGAUACUAGUAAGAGUUCUCUGUCAUCAAAUGAAAGUCAUCAUGCUUUAUUCGAUGAAGAAUCAGAACAAAAGAAAUUAAAAAUACAAGUUGGUAACUCGGAAAAUAAAUUAAAGCAGAAAAGGGAAGGUUAUGCAACAAAAUCCUUCAACAAAAGGAUUUUAUCUGUUAUUUCAAGCAAUGGUUAUAAUGAAAAUGAAAUAGAUAGUGAAAAUCUGGAUAAAAUGCCCUGGUUUUUACAAUCAGAAAAUGUGACAGCUAUGUUAAAACCUUUAAAUACUGCAAGAUUAACGGCGUCUUCAAAUUGUUCAAAGUGGCUAUUUGUCAUUAUGAUAUAUGUCAUUUGAUAUUUACAUUGAUAUUACGAUAUUUGUCAUUUGAUAUUUACAUUGAUAUUACGAUAUUUGUCAUUACGAUAUAUGUCAUUACAAUAUUUUUUACAGUGGCCACUGUACAAAAAUAUCGAU